ACACAUGCAAGUCGAACGGCAGCGCGGGGCAACCUGGCGGCGAGUGGCGAACGGGUGAGUAAUAUAUCGGAACGUACCCAAGAGUGGGGGAUAACGUAGCGAAAGUUACGCUAAUACCGCAUACGAUCUAAGGAUGAAAGCAGGGGAUCUUCGGACCUUGUGCUCCUGGAGCGGCCGAUAUCUGAUUAGCUAGUUGGUGAGGUAAAGGCUCACCAAGGCNACGAUCAGUAGCUGGUCUGAGAGGACGACCAGCCACACUGGAACUGAGACACGGUCCAGACUCCUACGGGAGGCAGCAGUGGGGAAUUUUGGACAAUGGGCGAAAGCCUGAUCCAGCAAUGCCGCGUGAGUGAAGAAGGCCUUCGGGUUGUAAAGCUCUUUUGUCAGGGAAGAAACGGUNNGGGCUAAUAUCCNUCGCUAAUGACGGUACCUGAAGAAUAAGCACCGGCUAACUACGUGCCAGCAGCCGCGGUAAUACGUAGGGUGCAAGCGUUAAUCGGAAUUACUGGGCGUAAAGCGUGCGCAGGCGGUUUUGUAAGUCUGACGUGAAAUCCCCGGGCUCAACCUGGGAAUUGCGUUGGAGACUGCAAGGCUAGAAUCUGGCAGAGGGGGGUAGAAUUCCACGUGUAGCAGUGAAAUGCGUAGAGAUGUGGAGGAACACCGAUGGCGAAGGCAGCCCCCUGGGUCAAGAUUGACGCUCAUGCACGAAAGCGUGGGGAGCAAACAGGAUUAGAUACCCUGGUAGUCCACGCCCUAAACGAUGUCUACUAGUUGUCGGGUUUUAAUUAACUUGGUAACGCAGCUAACGCGUGAAGUAGACCGCCUGGGGAGUACGGUCGCAAGA
rnacentral:rRNA from 1 species